GUCGUGAGGCACGGGCUGAAAGAAGCCGGAGGCAAACCCUUGAUCUGACGAACAGAAACCACAUCAGGCCAAAAAGUGGAGGAUAAGCCUGCGUAACAAGGUGAAGUCCAUAACUGCUCGGAUCCACGAUGGUAAAUGUGGCAGAUACAUGAGGGGAAA
rnacentral:ncRNA from 1 species